GCCGACGUAGCUCAGCGGUAGAGCAGCUGAUUCGUAAUCAGCAGGUCAUCGGUUCAAUCCCGAUCGUCGGCUCCA
rnacentral:tRNA from 1 species